CUAGGGAGGAGGCUGCAUCGUUGAUUUCGUCAUGCGCAGGACUGCAGUAGUGACGCAAUUCACUGAUUGGUCUGUCUUUAUAUUCUACCAGCCCUGCAUGUUAAUGAUUGUUUGGCGUGGUGCACGUUAGCUGUGUGAGCCUGGUGGUGCGUCGCGAUUUCACUGCAUCAAGAGCUGUGCCUGAGAGCCUUCGAAGAGCACAUUUUAUGGGUGCUUUGUGCGGUGUCAAGAGAUUUUAUGAACUGCAGAAGCAAGACAGUAGCAACAAGCCUGACGCGUUCUAGACCCAAACUCCCAGUAGAGGAAUACAAGUAGUACCACUUCCAGACAGAUCAGUCCCAGUGAGCAAGUGUUGGAAGGUAAUGGGGGGUGUGGCCCUGCUUGUUGAUGAUUGUUUGGCGUGGUGCACGUUAGCUGUGUGAGCCUGGUGGUGCGUCGCGAUUUCACUGCAUCAAGAGCUGUGCCUGAGAGCCUUUGAUGAGCAAAUUUUAUGGGUGUUUUGUGCGGUGUCAAGAGAUUUUAUGAACUGCGGAAGCAAGACGGUAGCAACAAGCCUGACGCAUUCUAGACACAAACUCCCAGUAGAGGAAUACAAGUAGUACCACUUGAUGAAAACAGACCAGUCCCAGUGAGCAGUGUUGGAAGUUCUUCUUGUGUAUUUGAGGCAGGCAAUUUUGAGUGACGUGCCUGGUGUUGUCACUGUAUCACGAGCCCUGAAUAAUUUGCUCUGCAAGUGAGAUUGGAAGCUGGCGGAAGAGUAUGUAUGUGCUGUUGGUGGGAUGCCGUCCAGUGUGGGGUUGUGAUAUUUUUGCAGUGGUUGUGUGUUGGUAUUUGACUUCACCAGAGUGCGGUGGUUUUAUUGCACAGAAGGUAGUUUGAUGUGAACCAUUUGUCCAUUUUAUAGUGUUAAACCCUCCACUGGAGUUGCGUGACCACAACAGUGGCCUGGAGACUUUUUUUGUCUUAUAUAAGCUUUGGUAUUGUUGCCUUCUACUUUGUUUAAUCUUGCUUGACAUCAACUUAAUACAAUUAAAUGUUAAGGUACUUGUUACGGAGCCCUGCUGGUGACAAUCCCUGUUUAAUUAAAAUGCUGCACAGCCACAGCUUACUAAAGGAUGAAACUGGUUCCGUAUGCAUGGUCACAAAUAAGAUAUGGGAACAAGGUGGUAGUUAAGUCACUGUCUAGACUGUCUAGAAGGACGUUACUAGUUUUUGAAAGUUUAAUCAAUAGGAGGACUCACUUGGAUGUUUCUGCUUACAUUUUACAGUAUGAAAAAAAAAAAAAAAAAAUCCUGACUGGAUAUUUGUAAUUUGGGCACUUAAAUGUUUUAGCCCUUGUUACCAACCAAAUCUAACAAUGAAGUAAACCAUAAAAUUAAAAUGAGACAUAUUUUUCAUUCCCAGAAA